rnacentral:rRNA from 1 species
UACGAAGGGGGCUAGCGUUGCUCGGAAUCACUGGGCGUAAAGGGUGCGUAGGCGGGUCUUUAAGUCCGGGGUGAAAUCCUGGAGCUCAACUCCAGAACUGCCUUUGAUACUGAGGAUCUUGAGUACGGGAGAGGUGAGUGGAACUGCGAGUGUAGAGGUGAAAUUCGUAGAUAUUCGCAAGAACACCAGUGGCGAAGGCGGCUCACUGGCCCGUUACUGACGCUGAGGCACGAAAGCGUGGGGAGCAAACAGG